UUGUGCCCUUGUCCUUCAGGUGACAGAACUGUGACGUGAUGUAUUCCUCCUUGCGGACAACCUCUGCUGUUGUGCCGCUCUCAAAUAAGCUCCUAUCCAUUGACUUGUUUGCAGAUGCAUUUAAAAUGAAGAACUUCGGUCACCACAAAGUGAAAUUGUAG
rnacentral:lncRNA from 1 species